GAUGAACGCUAGCGGCAGGCUUAAUACAUGCAAGUCGAACGGUAAGUUUGGUAGCAAUAUCAAACCAAGAGUGACGUACGGGUGCGUAACACGUAUGCAACCUACCUUGUACAGGAGUAUAGCUCGGGGAAACUCGAAUUAACCCUCCAUGAGAUCAUAGAAUGGCAUCAUUUAGUGAUUAAAACUCAGGUGGUACAAGAUGGGCAUGCGUCUGAUUAGAGUUGGCGGGGUAAUGGCCCACCAAGACGAUGAUCAGUAGGGGGCCUGAGAGGGUGACUCCCCCA
rnacentral:rRNA from 1 species